GAUGAACGCUGGCUACAGGCUUAACACAUGCAAGUCGAGGGGAAACGCCGGGGAAGCUUGCUUCCCCGGGCGUCGACCGGCGCACGGGUGAGUAACGCGUAUCCAACCUGCCUCUGACUGAGGGAUAACCCGUCGAAAGUCGGCCUAAUACCUCAUGGCAUCGUCUGCGGGCAACCAACGACGAUUAAAGAUUUCAUCGGUCAGAGAUGGGGAUGCGUCUGAUUAGCUUGUUGGCGGGAUAACGGCCCACCAAGGCGACGAUCAGUAGGGGUUCUGAGAGGAAGGUCCCCCACAUUGGAACUGAGACACGGUCCAAACUCCUACGGGAGGCAGCAGUGAGGAAUAUUGGUCAAUGGGCGAGAGCCUGAACCAGCCAAGUAGCGUGCAGGAUGACGGCCCUAUGGGUUGUAAACUGCUUUUAUGCGGGGAUAAAGUGAGGGACGUGUCCUUCAUUGCAGGUACCGCAUGAAUAAGGACCGGCUAAUUCCGUG
rnacentral:rRNA from 1 species